GGCUGGGGGCGGGGUAGGUGGUGGCCGUGAGAAGGUAGCCGUGAGAAGGUGGGAGAGGAAGGGGUGGUUAGUCUAUUAGGGAUGCAGGCUUUGGCACCACUACGAAGCCAGGGUUUUCUUUGGGUUUUAACUGUCAGAUUGAGAGUAGCUCUGUUGUAGCCCCUUUGCAGGGUUCCCAUGAGACUUUUCCUAGGUAGUUACGUUGACUCGCUUAGCAACAUAGCAAAUUACAGAAACGGAGUAAGAACGUAAGAAAUCGCAAAGCACGUGACGUAUGGGCUCUCACUGUUCUUGGCCCUUCUCCCGACCCGUAGCCCUGCUCUGCUACGACUGCGUGGUUUGGAUGCUCUUCCAAGAGUCACAUGUCCAAACCAUCCAGAUGCGAUUUUAGUGGAGGACUACCGAGCUGGUGAUAUGAUCUGUCCUGAAUGUGGCUUGGUUGUAGGUGACCGGGUUAUUGAUGUGGGAUCUGAAUGGCGAACUUUCAGCAAUGACAAAGCAACAAAAGAUCCAUCU
rnacentral:sRNA from 1 species